UGAAGAGUUUGAUCCUGGCUCAGAGCGAACGCUGGCGGCGCGCCUAACACAUGCAAGUCGAGCGCAGGCAUCUUGGGGGUAACCCCGGGAUGUGCUGAGCGGCGGACGGGUGAGUAACACGUGGAUAACCUACCUUAAGGACCGGGAUAACUCUGGGAAACUGGAGCUAAUACCGGAUAAGACCACGGUGUCUACGGACACUGGGGUAAAAGGUGGCCAGGCAACUGGCUGCCACCUUAAGAUGGGUCCACGUCCCAUCAGGUAGUUGGUGAGGUAAUGGCUCACCAAGCCUAAGACGGGUAGCCGGCCUUAGCGGGUGGUCGGCCACACGGGGACUGAGACACGGCCCCGACUCCUACGGGAGGCAGCAGUGGGGAAUAUUGGGCAAUGGGCGAAA
rnacentral:rRNA from 1 species